rnacentral:rRNA from 1 species
AACGAACGCUGGCGGCAGGCCUAACACAUGCAAGUCGAACGCCCUCUUCGGAGGGAGUGGCAGACGGGUGAGUAACGCGUGGGAAUCUACCUAGCUCUACGGAAUAACUUCGGGAAACCGGAGCUAAUACCGUAUACGCCCUUCGGGGGAAAGUUUUUCGGAGUUAGAUGAGCCCGCGUUAGAUUAGCUUGUUGGUGAGGUAAAAGCUCACCAAGGCGACGAUCUAUAGCUGGUCUGAGAGGAUGAUCAGCCACACUGGAACUGAGACACGGUCCAG